GGCAGUUUGGUGUAGUGGUUAUGACCUCUGACCAAGAGGCUUACGUAAUGUUACCUGAAGUCUGUGGUUCAAGCCUUCUUUUUGCCA